rnacentral:tRNA from 1 species
GCCUCCAUAGUUCAAUGGAUAGAACGAAGGUUUCCUAAACCUUAAAUCCAAGUUCGAUUCUUGGUGGAGGCACCA